GCGGCCGCCGAGUCCGUCCACAUCGCCAGGCCAGGAGUCAGAACAAGGACGGGCCUGUGAUGUGUCUGUCUAUGACGAGGAGGACAAUGUCCUAAGGAAUGGAGAGGAAGAAAGUGAAGGGAACCAGGUCCCUGGAUUCCAUGUGGAACAGUAGCCCAGGAUGUGCACUAUGGACUGUUACAAGAGAGAGACAUGAUCUUCCUUAAGGCAUUGAUUUGUCAUGAGUCUCUUUGUUAUAGCCACUUAACGUUACCUUAAUACACCCACUUCAUGGAUAAGUAAAACUGAGGCUUGGAGAAGCCCACAUUGACACAGCAAAGAAGGCUGGGGCUCUUGUGCUGGUUAAAUGGACCUUGAUGUCUUCCAAAUGUUUUCAUGCUGGAUUCUGAGCCACUCUCCUGGCUGCAACUCUGAGGCCGGGCAGACUUUCCGCUGGAAAGAGAACUCAAAUACUGGUGAGAGGUGGAUUUGAAGCCAGGAGCCCCAGGUUUUGGCUCUGCAGGUUUGCACCCAGCUCUGUGGUGUAUGCCCUCACAGGUCACCCAGGACCUCCUGUCCAGGCUUCUUCAGGCCACCCAUGAUGGAGUAGAUUUGAGGAAUGAGGUUUUCAAAGCAGUUAGUGUGCGGGAGAGUAACCCUGGGGCCUCCGGAACCAGAAGGGAGGGAUUUGGGGGCUGGAGCUUGGCAGUCCAGGUUCCAUUGUCCUCAUGUUCUCCCCACUGGCCUGGCCUGUCACUCCAGUCUCUGCAUAGGUUGUCACAUGGCAUUCUCCCUGUGUGUCUCUGUGUCUCUUCUCUUCUUUAUAAAGACAUAGUUAUAAUGGAUUAGGGCCCACCCUAA
rnacentral:lncRNA from 10 species